AUACGUAGGUGACAAGCGUUAUCCGGAUUUACUGGGCGUAAAGGGCGUGUAGGCGGUCUUGCAAGUCAGAAGUGAAAUUCCUGAGCUCAACUCGGGCGCUGCUUCUGAAACUGCAGGACUUGAGUGCUGGAGGGGAUAGCGGAAUUCCUAGUGGAGCGGUAAAAUGCGCAGAUAUUAGGAAGAACACCGGUGGCGAAGGCGGCUAUCUGGACAGUAACUGACGCUGAGGCGCGAAAGCGUGGGGAGCAAACAGGAUUAGAUACCCUGGUAGUCCGCGCAGUAAACGAUGCGCACCAGGUGUCGGGCGGCAGCGCCCGGUACCGGAGCAAACGCGAUGAGUGCGCCGCCUGGGGAGUAUGCCCGCAAGGGUGAAACUCAAAGGAAUUGACGGGG
rnacentral:rRNA from 1 species